GAUGAACGCUAGCGGGAGGCCUAACACAUGCAAGCCGAGCGGUAUUGUUUCUUCGGAAAUGAGAGAGCGGCGUACGGGUGCGUAACACGUGUGCAACCUGCCUUUAUCUGGGGGAUAGCCUUUCGAAAGGAAGAUUAAUACUCCAUAAUAUAUUGAACGGCAUCGUUUAAUAUUGAAAGCUCCGGCGGAUAGAGAUGGGCACGCGCAAGAUUAGCUAGUUGGUGAGGUAACGGCUCACCAAGGCGAUGAUCUUUAGGGGGCCUGAGAGGGUGAUCCCCCACACUGGUACUGAGACACGGACCAGACUCCUACGGGAGGCAGCAGUGAGGAAUAUUGGUCAAUGGGUGCAAGCCUGAACCAGCCAUCCCGCGUGAAGGACGACUGCCCUAUGGGUUGUAAACUUCUUUUGUAUAGGGAUAAACCUACCCUCGUGAGGGUAGCUGAAGGUACUAUACGAAUAAGCACCGGCUAACACCGUG
rnacentral:rRNA from 1 species